UUCAGAGGUCCCGAGCGUUGUUCGGAUUUACUGGGCGUAAAGGGAGCGUAGGCGGUUCGGUAUGUCGAAUGUGAAAGCCCACAACUCAACUGUGGGAAUACAUUCGAAACUGCCGGGCUAGAGUACUGGAGAGGAGAGCGGAAUUCUUGGUGUAGCGGUGAAAUGCGUAGAUAUCAAGAGGAACACCGGUGGCGAAGGCGGCUCUCUGGACAGAUACUGACGCUGAGGCUCUAAAGUUAGGGGAGCAAACAGGAUUAGAUACCCCGGUAGU
rnacentral:rRNA from 1 species